GCUCAGGAUGAACGCUAGCUACAGGCUUAACACAUGCAAGCCGAGGGGCAUCAGGAAGAAAGCUUGCUUUCUUUGCUGGCGACCGGCGCACGGGUGAGUAACACGUAUCCAACCUGCCCUUUACUCGGGGAUAGCCUUUCGAAAGAAAGAUUAAUACCCGAUAGCAUAAUGAUUCCGCAUGGUUUCAUUAUUAAAGGAUUCCGGUAAAGGAUGGGGAUGCGUUCCAUUAGGUUGUUGGUGAGGUAACGGCUCACCAAGCCUUCGAUGGAUAGGGGUUCUGAGAGGAAGGUCCCCCACAUUGGAACUGAGACACGGUCCAAACUCCUACGGGAGGCAGCAGUGAGGAAUAUUGGUCAAUGGGCGCUAGCCUGAACCAGCCAAGUAGCGUGAAGGAUGAAGGCUCUAUGGGUCGUAAACUUCUUUUAUAUAAGAAUAAAGUGCAGUAUGUAUACUGUUUUGUAUGUAUUAUAUGAAUAAGGAUCGGCUAACUCCGUGCCAGCAGCCGCGGUAAUACGGAGGAUCCGAGCGUUAUCCGGAUUUAUUGGGUUUAAAGGGAGCGUAGGUGGACUGGUAAGUCAGUUGUGAAAGUUUGCGGCUCAACCGUAAAAUUGCAGUUGAUACUGUCAGUCUUGAGUACAGUAGAGGUGGGCGGAAUUCGUGGUGUAGCGGUGAAAUGCUUAGAUAUCACGAAGAACUCCGAUUGCGAAGGCAGCUCACUGGACUGCAACUGACACUGAUGCUCGAAAGUGUGGGUAUCAAACAGGAUUAGAUACCCUGGUAGUCCACACAGUAAACGAUGAAUACUCGCUGUUUGCGAUAUACAGUAAGCGGCCAAGCGAAAGCAUUAAGUAUUCCACCUGGGGAGUACGCCGGCAACGGUGAAACUCAAAGGAAUUGACGGGGGCCCGCACAAGCGGAGGAACAUGUGGUUUAAUUCGAUGAUACGCGAGGAACCUUACCCGGGCUUAAAUUGCAGUGGAAUGAUGUGGAAACAUGUCAGUGAGCAAUCACCGCUGUGAAGGUGCUGCAUGGUUGUCGUCAGCUCGUGCCGUGAGGUGUCGGCUUAAGUGCCAUAACGAGCGCAACCCUUAUCUUUAGUUACUAACAGGUUAUGCUGAGGACUCUGGAGAGACUGCCGUCGUAAGAUGUGAGGAAGGUGGGGAUGACGUCAAAUCAGCACGGCCCUUACGUCCGGGGCUACACACGUGUUACAAUGGGGGGUACAGAAGGCAGCUAGCGGGUGACCGUAUGCUAAUCCCAAAAGCCUCUCUCAGUUCGGAUCGAAGUCUGCAACCCGACUUCGUGAAGCUGGAUUCGCUAGUAAUCGCGCAUCAGCCACGGCGCGGUGAAUACGUUCCCGGGCCUUGUACACACCGCCCGUCAAGCCAUGGGAGCCGGGGGUACCUGAAGUACGUAACCGCAAGGAUCGUCCUAGGGUAAAACUG
rnacentral:rRNA from 1 species